AGUGAACGCUGGCGGUAGGCCUAACACAUGCAAGUCGAACGGCAGCACAGUAAGAGCUUGCUCUUACGGGUGGCGAGUGGCGGACGGGUGAGGAAUACAUCGGAAUCUACUUUUUCGUGGGGGAUAACGUAGGGAAACUUACGCUAAUACCGCAUACGACCUACGGGUGAAAGCAGGGGAUCUUCGGACCUUGCGCGAUUGAAUGAGCCGAUGUCGGAUUAGCUAGUUGGCGGGGCAAAGGCCCACCAAGGCGACGAUCUGUAGCUGGUCUGAGAGGAUGAUCAGCCACACUGGAACUGAGACACGGUCCAGACUCCUACGGGAGGCAGCAGUGGGGAAUAUUGGACAAUGGGCGCAAGCCUGAUCCAGCCAUACCGCGUGGGUGAAGAAGGCCUUCGGGUUGUAAAGCCCUUUUGUUGGGAAAGAAAAGCAGCAGGUUAAUACCCCGCUGUUCUGACGGUACCCAAAGAAUAAGCACCGGCUAACUUCGUG
rnacentral:rRNA from 1 species